GACAAUUACAUCUGAAAAACAUUUCGCUCUUUUAGUGGCCGUCCACCUGUCUGUGAUGCUCUCUCUCUCCGCGUGACCUCGUCCGUCUUGGCCCUUUGGGUUUUCUGUGUUUCUGCUUCUCUCUGCUGUGUUACCACCUCUGCGAGAUCGGCCCCCCCCGACGGCCUGUGUCACGACAACCUGCCGCUCCUCAAACCUUUGGCCCCUGCCCGUGAAAACCAGCAAGUCAUGCAUCUAAAGAGUUUUACUACGAGACAAAGUCUACGCCCUUAUCAGCCUGCAAGUUGAACGAGACAAAGAAGAAAUGUUUGACAGACUUUCAAAAAGUAACACGACCAGGGUCAACCUAAUCCCACCAAUUUUUUCGUAAUCAUGAGGAGGAGUGUCAGAAAAAGCAGGAAGUGUGAGGCCCCUGCAGGUACACAGGUCGGACACACCCUUGUACUCACACAUCGGAAAGCCUCCCCCCGUGUUGACAGCGACCAUAAAAUCUGCGUUAUCUACACAGGCCUUGGCCCUUUGGUCGGGCUGUUGGAAAAGAGUGUGAGCGAUGAUGCUGACUCCUCAGGCAAUAAAACUGGGUGGAGGAAACCUGCCGGGGUCAAAGUCACCUGCGAGCGGAGACUCCUCACGUACUAAAGCAACCGCCUCCGAGUCCAGAUCCUGAGUUAACCUCGGUGCUUCUCCUCUCUCGCCUCAGGUACGUUCUCCACACCAGCACCGAACCGCCUGGAGGAAAACGGUGAGUGGGACCAGGAGUCGAGGUGGAGAUGCUGCAGUUUGUCCUCAGCCUUAAUUGUGGUGCUUUUGCUGUAUGUAACAGCAACUCCAUGUGGAAGUCAUGUGUGUGUUCCAGUGGAGAUGGUGUUACCUGCAGAGAGCCGCCGAUCACAACGUGAGGAAUUUUUCCUGCUCUUUUCUUCUCUUGGCUAAUUUUCUUUGUUUCACGGCAAGACGAGCCUCCCUGGUAAAGUGUUUUUGACUCAUGUUGAAGUAGCCGAGGAGCGACAGGGCACAAGGUGAUGACCUAUGAAUUGACAGCCAGUGAUUGUAACCUCUGCCUGUCAGUUCUGUAGGCCACUGCUGCGUUCUCCCUUAACCUGCACAGAUUCACACAGAAAGAAUGUUGUGUGGUCUCAUGGAGCUGAUGCAUCUGUGGCUUGGACAUGAAUUGCAAUUGUUUUUGCAGCAUCUUCAAUAAAGAAUUAAAACGUGAAUGUGCUGCUUCGUGUUUGAACGAGUCUGUCAUUUGUACUCCGUUGCUAUGAGCAAGAUUUAUCUGCCAAAUAAAGUAGAUUUGAUAUUUAUCACACACGAUUACAAAUUGUAUGUUUACUUCAAACAGCUUUUUUAACAUUAGUAUAGUAUAAAUAGUAACUUACCUCGGGAAAAACAUUUACUGGUGUCAUGCAUGUGGAUUCAUGACAGAAUUUGUGUUUCAAGGAAAGUGAAUGUGGUGAAAGGCUGAUGACAUCGUCCUCACACAGACGUCUAUGUUCUAUUUAUGGUAUUUUACAUCAACAGAACUGAUUGUACGCAGAUGUGAAAAUGAUCGUAUACACUGAAAAUAAAUACGUGAACAAGAA